UACGUAGGGGGCAAGCGUUGUCCGGAAUCAUUGGGCGUAAAGCGCGUGUAGGCGGUCUGUCGCGUCUGCUGUGAAAAUCCGGGGCCCAACCCCGGACUUGCAGUGGGUACGGGCAGACUAGAGUGUGGUAGGGGAGACUGGAAUUCCUGGUGUAGCGGUGAAAUGCGCAGAUAUCAGGAGGAACACCGAUGGCGAAGGCAGGUCUCUGGGCCACUACUGACGCUGAGAAGCGAAAGCAUGGGGAGCGAACAGG
rnacentral:rRNA from 1 species